rnacentral:lncRNA from 1 species
GACGGCUGAAGAGGUUGUCUAAUGCUAUGGAAAGAAGGGAAAAAGAGAAAAGAAAGAAGAUUGAGGCUUACCUCGGGCUUUGGUGGGCAUACUUGUAGCUUUGGAAACAAACUCUAGGGUGAUUCCUCGAUGUUGGGCCUCCGAUCUCCGAUCAGAAGAAUGGGAAUCUUUUUUCCUAUUAAAUAAAGCUCGAGUGGAGGAGUCCAACUCCCCCUUGGCUUCAAUUUUCAUCCAAAAAUUGGGAGA